UCUGGUACUGUGGGGGCAUAUGUCUCACUGGGGGCAUAUGUGUUUCUGGCACUAUGGGGGAAUAUUUUUAUCUGGCACUGUGGAGGAAUAUCUGGCACUGGGGGCAUAUGCUGGACUGGGAGCCCUAGCAACAAGCAUUACCCCCUGGUAACAAGCACAACACCCAGCUCAUGAAAUCCCUGGCAACAAGCAUUACCCCCUAGCAAUAAGCAUGACACCCAGGGCAUGAAACCCCUGGCAACAAGCAUAACACCUAGCACAUGAAACCCCUGGCAACGAGCAUGACACCCUGAGCAUGAAAACCCCUGACACCGUGCAUGGAACCAAGAGCAUGAAACCCCUGACAACGAGCAGGCAUUUUAUGAAUAGUGAAUACCGACUGAAGACACAGUCUGACCAGGGAGGAUACAUUUCUUCAGAGUAUCCCCAUUGUGAGAAACCACCAUAUAGACACUCAUCUAGCCGUGCAUGUACUGACCUGUGAUUGCACACAAGACAAGUGCCAGCGCUGUCACUUUCACCAACAUGUUGAGUCAGUGGAUGAAUCAGGAGGAGAAGAAAGUGCUGUAUAUCUGCAACAAAAAAUAGAUACAGUUAGAAGAAUUGUCCUGGAGAGUCUAGAUCUGUAGAAUGAGAUCUCUCCUUACCUGGACCCUCGGUGCCUGGGUGUGAGGUUGAUGCUGAUGCUGUAGGUUGCCUUUAUAUUACACCAUCUCUGUUCCCUGACUGUGAUCCAAGGCUGCUUACUGGACUUUAGAUUUGUUUUACAACGUGGUAUUCGUGACGUGUCCUGGCUUGCAUGUGAUGCUGGAAGUGUGAUUAGAUCUGGUCACUGAGUCAUAAUCAAUAACUGCAGGGUAGUCUGUUAUUUAAAAACUAGAGCUGAUAGUAAAAAAAACAAAUAAGUACCACCAUUAAUGCAGGUGGUCACUGAGUUCCAGGUUACUUCUUCAUGACAGGUUAUAUCUGGGCUUAACACAAUAACAGACUUACAGGGUACAGUUGAGGUCAAACAACUGUGAAUCAGAUUCAGAGCUCUUUUAUCUGUACUGAAUUAGAUAUUCAUUAUAAGAAAAUACUAGAAAUUAGGGAAAACUUAAGCUAAUGCAAUGUUCUGCUGAUAAAAAUAUUAAACUGCCUUGUAUUACGGCUCUAAAACACUUUCUUCAUUUCCAUGUCCAGGAAGGUCCACUAGAGGUCCACGACAAUCCCCUACUAAUGAUGAAUAGACACCUCUGGCACAUCCUGCACCACAAAUCUUACCUUAAUGGUCAUAAAUCGAUCCACCUCCCGUUGAUACGUAAUUUAGAUUUCAAAGAGGGAGCGGCGGCCUAUCCUUUUAUGGUGUGGAGUGUGGUAGGGUUCACAGCUUAAGUCAUCUACUUGACUUCAAUUUGAGAUGAUACCCUGACUUUCCUCAAGGCAACUGCUAAAUUCGAGACUCUAAGGGAUUAUUCCCUAGCUUACUUUCAGACACAACAUUACAUAGUCUACAUGGUGCGAGCGUUCUCAGAUACUGACUGGGAUAAUUCAUUAGACCAAUGUCCUUCUAGAUAAAUCCCCUCAUAUAAGGUCAUCUCUAGCUCUUAUAGAUUCCUAAGUGAGGACCUAGAUCAUGAUCAAUCAGCGGAUGCGCCAAUGGCUGACACAAAUCUGGCUUAUACAGACACCAUAAUAAAUUGUUAUUUCUCCUCCACAAUUUAUGAGGAGACAAGAUUUUGGUCUUUGUGUAUGUCAUCCACACAUGAUUGACACAAUACUGUGAUGCAUUUAACGGUUGCCUAAUAUUAAGAGUAAAAAUAUUCACAAGCUUCCACUUGCGGUAAGGUGAUUCCAAUUCAGUAUGUAAUACCGAUGGCUGGGAUGCCGGCCGUCAGUAUACCGACAGUGGCAUCCCGGCCACUAGGAUGCCGGUAGCGGGCGAGCGUUAGUAAGCCCCUUGCGGUAUAGUAGAAUGCUGUGCUCACCACAGGUUAUAAUCAUCCAUAGAGGGAGAAAAGCCCGCUGUGCGGGAUCCCAGCGUCGGCAUUGUGAUUGCCGGGAUCCCUUGCGGCGGGAUAUUCACCACUUCCCGGUGAAUCACCCUUACCGAUUACUAUUUUUCUUUUGAAAGGGGAGGUUUAUUACAUAUCCCUCAGCAAAAAAAAUAUUUCUCAGUGUUGUUGUAUUGUGAAUAAAAUCUUAUAUAUUUUACCCAAGUUUAAAUAAAUGUAAAAUUUUAACAUUUUCUAUACAUCUUGUACAAAGUGUGCACCCAAACAGGAGUUUUUCCUUCUGGUAUCUCUCCCAACCUCUUCUCAGGAUGGUACCCUGUUUUGAUCUAUCUGGUAUUACCCCAAAUUCCUGGGGAGCACUGGCAACCCCGAGUUACAUGUAUGGGACUCUCCUCUGUUACCUCUUGUAAUAGUUGGUCUUAGUACCAUUCUCUCACCUUCCAGGACUUGUGCGAAAUAAACCCCCUGAUAAAAUUGGGGAAUCUCUAAGUUGGAUAUCUUUCUGAGGGGGCAGAGCCUUACUCCAGGUAGUAAGAAAUUAUUGGGAAAGACCAUUUACAAAAUAGGAUACACCCAACCCCUAUUAACUUUCAAUCAUAUAGGGAGAAACUUACUUUUAUUUUUUGAAUGGACUGGGUAGAGACUAUGGGGCAGAUGUAUUACGCCUGGAGACUGCAUAAGGA